rnacentral:sRNA from 1 species
GCCGGGUGUGGUUGCACAUGCCUGUAAUCCCAGCAGCUUGGGAGGCUGAGGCAGGAGGAUCACGAGUUCAAAGUCAGCCUCAGCAACAGCAAAGCGCUAAGCAACUCAGUGAGACCCUGUCUCUA